rnacentral:rRNA from 1 species
AGUGAACGCUGGCGGUAGGCCUAACACAUGCAAGUCGAACGGCAGCACAGUAAGAGCCUGCUCUUACGGGUGGCGAGUGGCGGACGGGUGAGGAAUACAUCGGAAUCUACUUUUUCGUGGGGGAUAACGUAGGGAAACUUACGCUAAUACCGCAUACGACCUACGGGUGAAAGCAGGGGAUCUUCGGACCUUGCGCGAUUGAAUGAGCCGAUGUCGGAUUAGCUAGUUGGCGGGGUAAAGGCCCACCAAGGCGACGAUCCGUAGCUGGUCUGAGAGGAUGAUCAGCCACACUGGAACUGAGACACGGUCCAGACUGCUACGGGAGGCAGCAGUGGGGAAUAUUGGACAAUGGGCGCAAGCCUGAUCCAGCCAUACCGCGUGGGUGAAGAAGGCCUUCGGGUUGUAAAGCCCUUUUGUUGGGAAAGAAAAGCAGCAGGUUAAUACCCCGCUGUUCUGACGGUACCCAAAGAAUAAGCACCGGCUAACUUCGUG